GACGUAGGGCGCGAGCGUUGUCCAGAUUUAUUGGGCGUAAAGAGCUCGUAGGCGGCUUGUUGCGUCGACUGUGAAAACCCGCGGCUUAACUGCGGGCUUGCAGUUGAUACGGGCAGGCUAGAGUUCGGUAGGGGAGACUGGAAUUCCUGGUGUAGCGGUGAAAUGCGCAGAUAUCAGGAGGAACACCGGUGGCGAAGGCGGGUCUCUGGGCCGAUACUGACGCUGAGGAGCGAAAGCGUGGGGAGCGAACAGG
rnacentral:rRNA from 1 species